rnacentral:rRNA from 1 species
CAGUCGAGCGAGUCUUCGGACUUAGCGGCGGACGGGUGAGUAACGCGUGCCGAACGUGCCCUUUGCUUCGGAAUAGCCCCGGGAAACUGGGAUUAAGCCGAAUGUGCCCUACGGGGGAAAGAUUU